CCUACGGGAGGCAGCAGUGGGGAAUAUUGGGCAAUGGGCGAAAGCCUGACCCAGCAACGCCGCGUGAAGGAAGAAGGCUUUCGGGUUGUAAAAUUCUUUUGACAGGGAAGAGCAGAAGACGGUACCUGUCGAAUAAUCCACGGCUAACUACGUGCCAGCAGCCGCGGUAAUACGGAGGAUGCGAGCGUUAUCCGGAUUUCUUGGGUUUAACGGGUGCGCUGGCGGCCUGUUAAGUCAGCGGUAAAAGCCCGGGGCUAAACCGCGGAGAGCCGUUGAAACUGGCGGGCUGGAGUUGGAGAGAAGUACGCGGAAUGCGCGGUGUAGCGGUGAAAUGCUUAGAUAUCGCGCAGAACCCCGAUUGCGAAGGCAGCGUACCGGCUCCAAACUGACGCUGAGGCACGAAAGCGUGGGUAUCGAACAGGAUUAGAUACCCCUGUAGUC
rnacentral:rRNA from 1 species